AAUGGGCGCAGCCUGAUGCAGCGACGCCGCGUGCGGGAUGACGGCCUUCGGGUUGUAAACCGCUUUUGACUGGGAGCAAGCCCUUCGGGGUGAGUGUACCUUUCGAAUAAGCACCGGCUAACUACGUGCCAGCAGCCGCGGUAAUACGUAGGGUGCAAGCGUUAUCCGGAAUUAUUGGGCGUAAAGGGCUCGUAGGCGGUUCGUCGCGUCCGGUGUGAAAGUCCAUCGCUUAACGGUGGAUCCGCGCCGGGUACGGGCGGGCUUGAGUGCGGUAGGGGAGACUGGAAUUCCCGGUGUAACGGUGGAAUGUGUAGAUAUCGGGAAGAACACCAAUGGCGAAGGCAGGUCUCUGGGCCGUCACUGACGCUGAGGAGCGAAAGCGUGGGGAGCGAACAGGAUUAGAUACCCUGGUAGUCCAAGGGCGAAUUC
rnacentral:rRNA from 1 species